ensembl:lncRNA
GCUGACCCGCCGAGCCUGCGCGAUGGGAGGAUCCUGCGAGCAACCACUGCGCAGGCGCUGGGUGGCAGCCGCACCCACGCGGCGCUUGUCCAAAAGUUACAGAUGUGCACAGGGAGCUCGCAGUCCGCGCGGCUGCCUACGGCAGAGGAGGGGAGAGAGAACUCCGCAGGGCGCGCCGUUGGCUUCUGCGUGAGUGACAACGCUGCUUUCCCAGUUCGACCCCGUCUCCCCUGCGCUCGGCGGAGGGCUGCAGUGAGCAUCGUUUAUCCUUUGGGGCGUUUAUCCUUCUCCAGGAAGAGCCAGUUGUGUUUGGUCCCUCGUACCUGGCCAUCCCCAGGCUGGAUUCUUCGGAGGUGGGCUUUUACACUCUCCUUAGUGGAUUCUGACUUCUUGUGUCUGACGAGCCUGGGCAGUACUACCUCUCCUGACCAGGGACCGAAAGUGCCCUGGUAGGCUCAUUCCACACCCGGCUUCUCGUCAGGAAGAGCUUACCCAGGCAUUCAGGCAUCAGGAUCAAUGAUGAACUUUCAAAAAGGAAAAAGAUGGAAAAUCAUCGAAAUUAUCAUAAUCUGUGCUCCCAACUAAAUGAGUGUUUCCUUGUAGCAUGAGCAGUCAAAGGAAAUUAUAUUCCUGUGUUAGUCUACCAACAGCCUAUCUGCACACUGUCUUCAUCUAGACUAUUCUUGAAAGCAGAGCCUGAGACAAAGGUAGAGACAUAUUCUGUUUGGAAAUGUGGUCCCAGGGAACAAGGAUGAGACAAGGGAGGAAACAGGUGGAAAAGGAAAGAAUGUCCAAGCAAAAAAGGUAGUGUUAGUGAGUGGUCCACUAGUGUUCUUGGAUACUUAGUGCAGAACCUUCCCAGUAUCCUAAUUAAACUGUGUCUCAGAAUUGUCUGCCUGAGGGAUGAAAAGAAGAAGCAUUUAUCUGUCAGCUGAUAUCACCUGUGUGCUGAGGGCUGCUCCCAUGGGGCAGCAACACCCCCACGAGGAGAGACUCACUGGGCUACAGCAUCACACGGGCUGCAGCAGAGAUGCUUCAGGACAAGAAGCUAGAUUCUUGAUACAAGCCUGAGAUGAGGCACUGUGAAACCUGCCCAGAGCUGUUCACCGAAGCCACAGCUGGAAUUGGAGGUGGAAGAGAUGGGAGGCAGUGCACAGGAGGCAUCUCUGAAGCCUGGAGAGUGUGCUGUUAGCCUUGUCUAAAUCCUCUCUCCUUUCCAUCAUCACAAUUUCAUUGUCCAGAACAGAGGUUGGCACAGGGCUAAAUAGGAAGGCUAAAUGUAUUUCCUAGAAGCUGUAUGUUAAUAACAGUUUUAACCUUGAGUAAUGUGCAUAAGAAACAGAAAAUGACAUUAGAACUUGAAAAAACUUAAGUUACUCUAUUGGAUAGCAGUAUUAGAUAUCCUCUAAAUUCGUGUAAUCUGAGAAGUAAUCAUAAAUUGGAGAAAUAAAAUCAACCAUUUCUUAUAUUUCUAUCAGCUUUAUAAAUCAGUGUCAUUAGUUUUUCCUAAGAUAGUGUCUUUUAUUGUUACAUAGCACUAGUGAUAUGGAAAUUACAACCAAUGAAGGGAACACUGGUAGGAACACAGGAAUGAAAAAUGUUGGAAUAAUUUCCAUCACUUAAAGGGUUGGUAUUAAUAUAGGUUGGAAUCAAGGCAGGGGAUGGGGGAUAACUGCACAUUUUGACUUGGGGUUCUUCUUUGAAGUUCCAUUUUACCAGAAAUAAUUUUCUCUCUGCCUACAUCCAUGUGAUAGCAUAAUCAUCCUCUCUUAUCUGAUCUGCAAUUACCAUCAAUAAGAAUAAACUUUUGAGUUACUUAGUAUGGCUUGAGUUCCUACUGUUUGCUGUUGAUUAGCACAGUGCAUGCAUGUUAGACAUGAAACAUUACAUCCAAACAUUUCAGAAUGCAUGUUCUUUUAAGGUAUGAAAGUGUUAGUCGCUCAAUCUUGUCUGACUCUUUGCAGCCCCAUGGACUGGAGCCUGCCAGGCUACUCUGUCUAUGGGAUUCUCCAGGCAAGAAUACUGGAGUGGGAUGCCAUUUCCUCCUCCAAGGGAAUCUUCCCAACCCAGGGAUUGAGCUCGGGUCUCCCACAUUGCAGUCAGACGCUUUACCAUCUGAGCCACCAGGGAAGGUAUACCCAGGACACUUACCAAAACUAACCAUAUGACUGAUCACAAAUCAUCUGAACAAAUCUCAAAAGACUGACAUCUUAUAAGAGUAUGAAAUCAAAAAU